UUGCUCGAACACUUUGAAGCUUUGAGCAAAAAAAUCAAAAUGGCCAAAAUGCAAAUGGGAGAGAAUGUGUGUUUUUUGAUCGUGGCUGCUGUUCUCUAGGGUUCAAAUGGCCAGAAAAAUGCCCUUAUAUGUGCUGUUUAACCCUCUACUAAUGACAAGCUAAACUUGCUUAAGCUUAAUGAAGUAAUUUGCCAAAAGUUGCUAAAC
rnacentral:lncRNA from 1 species